AACGCACCUUGCGCCCUUUGGUAUUCCGAAGGGCAUGCCUGUUUGAGUGUCAUUAAAUUCUCAACCCAAAAAGCUUUUACGAGCUCUUUUGUGGCUUGGAUGUGGGGGUUUUUGCUGGCUUCCUUCAGUGGAUGGUCUGCUCCCCUUAAAUGCAUUAGUGGGAUCUCUUGUGGACCGUCACUUGGUGUGAUAAUUAUCUUUGCCAGUUGACUUUGAAGCAAAACUUAUGGGAACCCGCUCAUAACCGUCUUCGGACAACUUAUUGACAUUUUGACCUCAAAUCAGGUAGGACUACCCGCUGAACUUAA
rnacentral:misc_RNA from 1 species